rnacentral:rRNA from 1 species
AUUGAACGCUGGCGGCAGGCCUAACACAUGCAAGUCGAGCGGAUGAAGGGAGCUUGCUCCUGGAUUCAGCGGCGGACGGGUGAGUAAUGCCUAGGAAUCUGCCUGGUAGUGGGGGAUAACGUCCGGAAACGGGCGCUAAUACCGCAUACGUCCUGAGGGAGAAAGUGGGGGAUCUUCGGACCUCACGCUAUCAGAUGAGCCUAGGUCGGAUUAGCUAGUUGGUGGGGUAAAGGCCUACCAAGGCGACGAUCCGUAACUGGUCUGAGAGGAUGAUCAGCCACACUGGAACUGAGACACGGUCCAGACUCCUACGGGAGGCAGCAGCGGGGAAUAUUGGACAAUGGGCGAAAGCCUGAUCCAGCCAUGCCGCGUGUGUGAAGAAGGUCUUCGGAUUGUAAGGCACUUUAAGUUGGGAGGAAGGGCAGUAAGUUAAUACCUUGCUGUUUUGACGUUACCAACAGAAUAAGCACCGGCUAACUUCGUG